rnacentral:rRNA from 1 species
GUGUCAGCCGCCGCGGUAAAACGUAGGAGCCAAGCGUUAUCCGAAUUCACUGGGCGUAAAGCGCAAGUAGGCGGCCGAGCAAGUUGAUUGUGAAAGCUCCCGGCUCAACUGGGAGAGGCCGGUCAAAACUACUCGGCUCGAGGACGGUAGAGGAAGGCGGAAUUCCCGGUGUAGUGGUGAAAUGCGUAGAUAUCGGGAGGAACACCUGUGGCGAAGGCGGCUUUCUGGGCCGCACCUGACGCUGAGAUGCGAAAGCUAGGGGAGCGAACGGGAUUAGAAACCCUUGUAGUCC